rnacentral:rRNA from 1 species
CCUACGGGUGACAGCAGUGGGGAAUAUUGCACCAUGGGGGAAACCCUGAUGCAGCGACGCCGCGUGAGUGAAGAAGUAUCUCGGUACGUAAAGCUCUAUCAGCAGGAAAGAAAAUGACGGUACCUGACUAAGAAGCCCCGGCUAACUACGUGCCAGCAGCCGCGGUAAUACGGAGGAUGCGAGCGUUAUCCGGAUUUAUUGGGUUUAAAGGGUGCGCAGGCGGAGGUGCAAGUCAGCGGUCAAAUUGCGGGGCUCAACCCCGUACUGCCGUUGAAACUGCAUCCCUUGAGUGGGCGAGAAGGAUGCGGAAUGCGUGGUGUAGCGGGGAAAUGGAUAGAUAUCACGCAGAACUCCGAUUGCGAAGGCAGCAUACCGGCGCGCAACUGACGCUCAUGCACGAAAGCGUGGGUAUCGAACAGGAUUAGAUACCCCUGUAGUC